rnacentral:rRNA from 1 species
UACGGAGGGUGCUAGCGUUGUUCGGAAUCACUGGGCGUAAAGGGCGUGUAGGCGGUCUGUUAAGUCUGAUGUGAAAUCCCCUCGCUCAACGAGGGAACUGCGUCGGAUACUGGCAGACUCGAGUACCGGAGAGGAAGGUGGAAUUCCCGGUGUAGCGGUGAAAUGCGCAGAUAUCAGGAGGAACACCGGUGGCGAAGGCGGGUCUCUGGGCCGAUACUGACGCUGAGGAGCGAAAGCGUGGGGAGCAAACAGG